CCCCACAUCGCCGCCGCCCCGUCUCCCCCUCCCUCCGGCAGACCUCGCCGCCGGCCAUAGCCUUCGCUCUCUCCCCCCACACCUGCCGCCCCACCCUCUCCUCUACACAUCCCCACUCCCUCCUCCCCUCGUCGAAAGAGAAAGAGAAGAGGGAGGUCGUGCAGAUGCGGCUAGGGCUUCGAUCUGGAUAAUCCCUCGCCGGCGCCCGUCGGGACAUCACCUCUGUCCGUUUGCUCCUCCUCAUCCCACCUCAGGCGGCGGCCAGAUCGCGGCGGAUUUGCGCCACCGUCAAGAGCGGGCCUCGCUCGAGAUGAGAGGAGGCCAACUUCUACCUCCGUCUGCUUCUGCUCGAGAUGGAGCUAUCGCUGCUCCGCCUCCCCGUCCUUUCCGCAUCCGGGGCCGACUCUGCCGAGCCGGUCGAGGCGGAGGCGCCUGCUGCCGACGAUGGCCCCAAGGAUGUGCUCACGGUCGAGGCCGAGGAGGACACGCUCACCGGGCUGGCGCUGCGCAAGUACGUGAAGCAGCGGCCACCAACUCAGCUCCGGCCACUUCCCCACGCGGCGACGCUUCUUCCUCGACCCCGACGACGAGGUUGGUCCGAUCUGAUCUGGACGAGCUGCUGCUGCUCCUACAGCAAGGUGAUGUGGUCGUGAAGAAGGCGACAGAGUACGGCGCAGUGGAGAUUUGGAUGAAUGAGCGUGUUAGGAGGGCAUGCUCUAGCAGCUGCGCAGAUUUUCUAUACGGCUUUCGAUUCAGUGCUAAAGCUUGUUUUUCAUCUACUAGUAUUUGGUUGGUUCCUAAACUCACAAUGUGUAUUAUUUCCUAGAGCAAAACCAAAGGUAAGGGUGAGGAAUACUGGCUUAUUUGGCGCUACGAAGGCGAGGACACGCUUUCUGCUCUCAUGCAAAGCAAGGAGUUCCCGUACAAUGUUAUUUCCCAAUGAUGGCCAGGCAGUGGCAGGAAUCACUUGCUUUGGCGCUAAUGACUACCCAACUAUCUAUGUUCGAUCAUUAGCUACCAAGCCGUUUCAUUGGUCUUCGGUUUGACCAUUGCAUCUUCUGUAGGAAUGCCUUGCUCAAAAAUUAUGUAGCAUCAAAACUGCUGGAUGCCCCCUUAAACCUUUCAAUUCCUUAGUAUGAAAAUAAUAUACAUAAGGAAUUAUGUGCUGGCUCCGUGGUUUGCUAAUUGCUUUCCUUGCUCAAUAUUGAUCUCACGACCACUGUAGCUAUAUUAUGCCCCUGCCUCAGUACUGAACUUAAUGUAAACUUGGUUCAGUUUUUUAUAUAUUAUAAACAUGCUAAGCAAAAGUUAGGAACCGGCAACGUGCGCCAAGGCACGCUGGAGGUCUAGUGUCUAUGAAGUGGUCGGUGUUCUUUUUAUUGUGGUAUAAGAUGAACCAGUUCAUUAUUUGUUUGGUGAUUGGUUUGAACACAUGUUCAUUAUUUGUUUGGUGAUUGGUUUGAACACAUGUUCUUUUUCUGCAGAAAUGUGUUGUGGUUCCUUGCAGAAUAAAUAAGUAAUCAUCAUAGAUAAUCAUGUAAAAGUAAAAUUCUUGGAAUUAUUGUUUUCCUGCUGUAUAAUACCUAUUUAUUAUUUUACUACUGAUGUGAGUUAAUCGUACUCUAUUCCUUUUAUUGAGCUAUUCCACUACCUCCUCCAGCGUCUCUAUGGGGGCGCCCGACGGUAGGCAGGCCAUGGAUGUAAUAGACCUGCUGCUACUGACUGUCUUCCCAGACCACGUCCCCAAGCUGCUCCUGCCAUCGACCCUCCUCAACUUUGCUCAUUGCCCGCUGCUGCUGCAGGUGAGACAAUUUCCUUGAUCUGUCGCUUCUUCCUCCUAUCAUGGCCAUAUGUGCUGCUUCUUUAACUCCCCUAGUUUGGGUGUAGCUGCAACUAGUGUAUUUUGGGAGUGAUUCGAUUUGACCCUGCUAAACUGCCGAUGAAUUUUGCUGUCAUUCUCUUGCACUCUGCUAUGCAGCUCUUGUUUACCUUAAAUGCAACUAUUGGUGCACUUGUUAAAUGCCAUUAUUUGUGCUAUUUGCUUUCCUUUUCAUGCAUGGUGUAACACCCCGGAUGUAACUUUCCAUAUUUGUAACUCCAACUCUUGCCAUUUUCGGCUAUGUGAUAUGAUAUUCCCUCCGUGGUUGAGUUUUGUC